ensembl:snoRNA SNORA73 Small nucleolar RNA SNORA73 family
CCACUGUGGAUGCCCUGGGAGGGCGCUCUCCCUGGCUCUGUCCAGGGGCUUUGUCCUGUGCUGUACAGCCCCUCCCCACAACGCUGGAGAUGACGCGGGCCUGGCGUCUGCGCCUGCAAUUCCUGCAGCUUCCCCGAGUCCUGCGGGCGAUGGCUGCGGAGAUGAGCCGUGCAGGAAACACGU